rnacentral:lncRNA from 1 species
UCGGCACAAAAUGGAGCUUCCUCCAAUUACUGGAGGGAACUCUGGCACUGCGAUCCUUCAGCCACCACGGGAAUGAUGGGUAGCACACGUGGAUUUGUCUGAUCUUCGUGCUUGUGGAUUCAGACGCUCCUGCGGCUUCGUUUAUUACGCUUCAUCUGGGCCUAAAUUAGACUAAAUUUCAAACCAAUUUAUAUCUUUUUACGCUGCAGAAGGUAAUAAGACUCUGCAAGCACGCAUAAUCGAUGCUAAUUCCAGUGGUUCCGCUUGUCCAUGCGUCCGUUGCGUAAUAGUUUCAAUACCGGGCUUCUGUGCUAGAGGUCCUGCGUUCGAAUCCUGCCGUAGGACAAUUUUAAUAAUGCUUAUUUAA